ensembl:lncRNA
GCAAACACUCCUACACACACACGCAGUCACGCACACAGAAACCCAGACAGAUGGACAGACAGACAGUCACAGUGACACACAGACUCACACCCACACAGAGAGACGGUGAGAGACAGACAAACACCAAACAGACUGGCUGGAAAUCUUUGCAAUCCAACUUUGGGGAAGCUAUUUGAAAAAGGCCUCGGCUGCAGUUAAACACACAGAGAGGAAAAUAGAGUGGAGAAAAGAGAUGGGUGUAGUGUAGAGGAGUGUAAAGCAGUGUAGAGCAGUGUAGAGGAAUGUAAAGCAGUGUAGAGCAGUGUAGAGGAGAGGAGAGCAGAGCAGUAUAGAGGAGAGGAGUGUAGAGGAGAGGAGUGUAGAGCAGUGUAGAGGAGAGGAGUGUAGAGGAGAGUAGAGCAGUGUAGAGGAGAGGAGUGUAGAGCAGUGUAGAGGAGAAGAGUGUAGAGCAGUGUAGAUGAGAGGAGUGUAGAGGAGAGUAGAGCAGUGUAGAGGAGAGGAGUGUAGAGCAGUGUAGAGGAGAGGAGUGUAGAGGAGAGGAGAGCAGUGUAGAGGAGUGUAGAGGAGAGGAGAGCAGUGUAGAGCAGUGUAGAGGAGAGGAGUGUAGAGGAGAGUAGAGGAGUGUAGAGCAGAGUGUAGAGGAGAGGAGUGUAAAAGGAGUGCAGAAAGGAGUGUAGAGGAGAGGAGUGUAGAGGAGAGGAGUGUAGAGGAGUGUAGAGGAGUGUAGAGAGGAUUGUAGAGGAGAGGAGUGUAGAGAAGAGGAGUGUAGAGGAGAGGAGUGUAGAGAGGAGUGUUGAGGAGAGGAGUGUAGAGGAGUGUAGAGGAGUGUAGAGAGGAGUGUAGAGGAGUGUAGAGAGGAGUGUAGAGAGGAGUGUAGAGGAGUGUAGAGAGGAGUGUAGAGGAGAGGAGUGUAAAGAGGAGUGUAGAGAGGAGUGUAGAGAGGAGUGUAGAGAGGAGUGUAGAGGAGAGGAGUGUAGAGGAGUGUAGAGAGGAGUGUAGAGAGGAGUGUAGAGAGGAGUGUAGAGGAGAGGAGUGUAGAGAGGAGUGUUGAGGAGAGGAGUGUAGAGAGGAGUGUUGAGGAGAGUGUAGAGGAGAGGAGUGUAGAGGAGAGUGUAGAGGAGUGUAGAGAGGAGUGUAGAGAGGAGUGUAGAGGAGUGUAGAGAGGAGUGUAGAGGAGAGGAGUGUAAAGAGGAGUGUAGAGAGGAGUGUAGAGAGGAGUGUAGAGAGGAGUGUAGAGAGGAGUGUAGAGGAGAGGAGUGUAAAGAGGAGUGUAGCGAGAAGUGUAGAGGAGAGGAGUGUAGAGAGGAGUGUAGAGGAGUGUAGAGGAGUGUAGAGGAGAGAGUGGAACAAACAGCUGGUAAUAAAUAAAGUCUCGACAGAAGCUAAUGAAAGCUGCUCAGGAUCCUGAGUGCUACAAUCUGGAGCUGUGAAGUGUGUGUGUGUGUGUACACUUUCAUUAAUAUUUUAAGCAGCUUUCAACAUUUGUCACUCAUUCAUGUGGGUGGGGUUAACCCUCUCGCUUUCUCAAACACACACACAUACACACAGUAAAUGGCUUUAUCACUUUCUCGCCAUAGAACGUGAGAGAGGCGCUGCGCCACCUUGUGGAUUGGUUGCGCCACUAUAUAAUUCUGAAAUAUAUUUUUUACAUUUAUUGCUUAAUUUGUUAUCAUUUAAGGCAAUUUCUUUUCUCUAGAUUGCAGGAAAUGUCAGUUUACAGGUGUUGAAUAACCCCCAAAUCUCCGGGGCGGGCCUCCCCCUGGGCGUACUCCACAGCACCACUUUGUAAAAACAUCCUGUGUUGAACCCGGAACAUAACAACACUAACUACCUGCUUAUGAUGUCAACUCCAAAACACAUCUCUCUUAUGACGUCAACUCCAAAACACAUCUCUCUUAUGACGUCAACUCCAAAACACAUCUCUCUUAUGACGUCAACUCCAAAAC